CUUUGAACUGUAUUUUCUCAAAAAUAGCCCGUGGCCUCAAUUUCAAAUAUAGCUAAAUGAAAAGAAAAAACUUUUCGGCGUUUGUAGGUAUCAAACAUAUCGUCAGGAAAAUAGGGGCUCACAAUGUUUUAGCUGAGUCUUUGAGACCCAGUUGCUUCGCACGUGUUGUGGUCAAAUUUUUGCCAAGAAUCAAAGGCCGAAAUGUGAACUUCCUUCACGAAAACCGCUUCGAGAAGGGUCUAGUUUGAAAAUUUAGCUAUUAAUUUCGAUUUCAUGAGCAUAUUUUGGUUACACGUUAAAUAUUUUUGUACUUGAUGAGAU